CCCUUAGAUGUCCUGGGCCGCACGCGUGCUACACUGAUACGUACAGAAAGUUUUGCUUCUCCGAAAGGCAGAUGGCUAAUCAGUAAUACGUAUCGUGAUGGGGAUAGAUCCUUGUAAUUCUGGAUCUUGAACGAGGAAUUCCUAGUAAGUGCAAGUCAUUACCUUGCGCUGAUUAAGUCCCUGCCCUUUGUACACACCGCCCGUCGCUCCUACCGAUUUCGAGUGGUCCGGUGAGCCUUUUGGACGGAGGUUUUACCUCUGAAAAUCAUGCGAACCUUAUCACUUAGAGGAAGGACAANUCGUANCA
rnacentral:rRNA from 1 species